UUUCCGGUUGAUCCCGCCGGAGGCCACUGCUAUGGGGAUCCGACUAAGCCAUGCGAGUAGUGGGCGCCUCCGCAAGGGGGUGGCCCUGCGCACGGCUCAGUAACACGUCGUCAACCUACCCUAGGGACGGGGAUAACCUCGGGAAACUGAGGAUAAUCCCCGAUAGGCAAAGGGUGCUGGAAUGCCCCUUUGCCCAAAACCGGCGGGUAAAACCGCGCGGGCCCUAGGAUGGGACGGCGGCCUAUCAGGUAGUUGGUGGUGUAACGGACCACCAAGCCUACGACGGGUACGGGCUGUGAGAGCAGGAGCCCGGAGAUGGGCACUGAGACAAGGGCCCAGGCCCUACGGGGCGCAGCAGGCGCGAAACUUUCGCAAUGGGCGAAAGCCUGACGAAGGGAUCCCCAGUGCCGCUGGCCUUCGGGUCGGCGGCUUUUCGGGAGUGUAAAAAGCUCCCGGAAUAAGGGCUGGGUAAGUCGGGUGCCAGCCGCCGCGGUAAUACCCGCAGCCCGAGUGGUGGCCGCGUUUAUUGGGCCUAAAGCGCUCGUAGCCGGGUCAGCAAGUCUCCCGUGAAAUCGACCAGUCGACUGGUCGGCGCGCGGGAGAUACUGCUGACCUAGGGGCCGGGGGACGCUAGGGGUACUCCGGGGGUAGGGGUGAAAUCCUGUAAUCCCCGGGGGACCACCGGUGGCGAAGGCGCCUAGCGACAACGGACCCGACGGUGAGGGGCGAAGGCUGGGGGAGCAAAGGGGAUUAGAUACCCCCGUAGUCCCAGCAGUAAAGGAUGCGGGCCAGGUGCUGGGUGUUCCUUCGAGGACACUCGGUGCCGGGGGGAAGCCGCUAAGCCCGCCGCCUGGGAAGUACGGCCGCAAGGCUGAAACUUAAACGAAUUGGCGGGGGAGCACCACAACGGGUGGGUCCUGCGGUUCAAUUGGAUUCAACGCCG
rnacentral:rRNA from 1 species